rnacentral:rRNA from 1 species
GAUGAACGCUAGCGGCGUGCCUUAUGCAUGCAAGUCGAACGGUCUUAAGCAAUUAAGAUAGUGGCGAACGGGUGAGUAACGCGUAAGUAACCUACCUCUAAGUGGGGGAUAGCUUCAGGAAACUGAAGGUAAUACCGCAUGUGGUGGGCCGACAUAUGUUGGUUCACUAAAGCCGUAAGGCGCUUGGUGAGGGGCUUGCGUCCGAUUAGCUAGUUGGUGGGGUAAUGGCCUACCAAGGCUUCGAUCGGUAGCUGGUCUGAGAGGAUGAUCAGCCACACUGGGACUGAGACACGGCCCAGACUCCUACGGGAGGCAGCAGCAAGGAAUCUUGGGCAAUGGGCGAAAGCCUGACCCAGCAACGCCGCGUGAGGGAUGAAGGCUUUCGGGUUGUAAACCUCUUUUCAUAGGGAAGAAUAAUGACGGUACCUGUGGAAUAAGCUUCGGCUAACUACGUGCCAGCAGCCGCGGUAAUACGUAGGAAGCAAGCGUUAUCCGGAUUUAUUGGGCGUAAAGUGAGCGUAGGUGGUCUUUCAAGUUGGAUGUGAAAUUUCCCGGCUUAACCGGGACGAGUCAUUCAAUACUGUUGGACUAGAGUACAGCAGGAGAAAACGGAAUUCCCGGUGUAGUGGUAAAAUGCGUAGAUAUCGGGAGGAACACCAGAGGCGAAGGCGGUUUUCUAGGUUGUCACUGACACUGAGGCUCGAAAGCGUGGGGAGCGAACAGAAUUAGAUACUCUGGUAGUCCACGCCUUAAACUAUGGACACUAGGUAUAGGGAG